rnacentral:SRP_RNA from 1 species
GGUGGUGGACGAUCCACUCGCCAACCGGGUCAGGUCCGGAAGGAAGCAGCCCUAACGAGCCCGGAACGGGUCAUUGUUCCA